rnacentral:rRNA from 1 species
ACCCGCUGAACUUAAGCAUAUCAAUAAGCGGAGGAAAAGAAACCAACAGGGAUUGCCUUAGUAACUGCGAGUGAAGCGGCAAAAGCUCAAAUUUGAAAUCUGGUGCCUUCGGCGCCCGAGUUGUAAUUUGGAGAGACAUCUUCGGAGUAGACGCCGUCCUAAGUUCCUUGGAACAGGACGUCACAGAGGGUGAGAAUCCCGUGCCUGGAUGGCUGUUCUACUUCAUGUGAAGUGUCUUCGACGAGUCGAGUUGUUUGGGAAUGCAGCUCAAAAUGGGAGGUAAAUUUCUUCUAAAGCUAAAUAUUGGCGAGAGACCGAUAGCGCACAAGUAGAGUGAUCGAAAGAUGAAAAGCACUUUGAAAAGAGAGUUAAAAAGUACGUGAAAUUGUUGAAAGGGAAGCGCUUGAGACCAGACUCGACCAGUGGUGAUCGGCGGUGCUUCUGUGCCGUGCACUUGCCAUUGGUUGGGCCAGCAUCGGUUUGGACGGCGGGAUAAAGACCUAAGGAAUGUGGCUCCCUCCGGGGAGUGUUAUAGCCUUGAGUGCAAUGCCGCCAGUCUGGACCGAGGACCGCGCUUCGGCUAGGAUGCUGGCGUAAUGGUCUU